UAUGUAGGAGAUGAUGAAGACUGUGAUGACCUGAUAGAUGCAUUUAAAGUAGAUACCAUUAUUCCUGACCCAUAUGAUGAUGUCUACAAGAAUAUACCAGUAAGUACUCACACGCUGGCACCUAAACCUGAUUGCAAGCAUUGUGGUGCAAAGAGGUUCCAGUAUGAGUCAAAUGGAUUUUGUUGCCGGUCUAGAAAAGUUAAGUUAGCACACUUAGAACCACCCUUGGAACUUAAAAUGUUGUACACAAGUUCAGAUCCCAAUGCCGUGCAUUUUAGGGAUAACAUUCGAUACUUCAAUGGACACUUUUCAUUCACCACCCUUGAAGUCAGCCUGGACAACAGAUACACAAACAUGAAGUCGGGAGUCUAUACGUUUCGAGCUCACGAUCAAAUUUAC
rnacentral:rRNA from 1 species